UACGAAGGGGGCUAGCGUUGCUCGGAAUCACUGGGCGUAAAGGGUGCGUAGGCGGGUCUUUAAGUCCGGGGUGAAAUCCUGGAGCUCAACUCCAGAACUGCCUUUGAUACUGAAGAUCUUGAGUUCGGGAGAGGUGAGUGGAACUGCGAGUGUAGAGGUGAAAUUCGUAGAUAUUCGCAAGGACACCAGUGGCGAAGGCGGCUCACUGGCCCGAUACUGACGCUGAGGCACGAAAGCGUGGGGAGCAAACAGG
rnacentral:rRNA from 1 species